UACGUAGGGUGCGAGCGUUAAUCGGAAUUACUGGGCGUAAAGCGUGCGCAGGCGGCUUUGCAAGACAGAUGUGAAAUCCCCGGGCUCAACCUGGGAACUGCAUUUGUGACUGCAAGGCUAGAGUACGGCAGAGGGGGAUGGAAUUCCGCGUGUAGCAGUGAAAUGUGUAGAUAUGCGGAGGAACACCAAUGGCGAAGGCAAUCCCCUGGACCUGUACUGACGCUCAUGCACGAAAGCGUGGGGAGCAAACAGG
rnacentral:rRNA from 1 species